GCCUCCAUAGCUCAGGGGAUAGAGCGUUGGUUUCCGGUACCAAAGGUCGGAGGUUCGAUUCCUCCUGGGGGCACCA
rnacentral:tRNA from 1 species